ACUCAAUAGAUACCCGGGUAGUCCACGCCCUAAACGAUGUCAACUAGUUGUCGGGGAUUAAUUUCCUUGGUAAACGCAGCUAAACGCGUGAAAGUUGACCGCCUGGGGAGUACGGUCGCAAGAUUAAAACUCAAAGGAAUUGACGGGGACCCGCACAAGCGGUGGAUGAUGUGGAUUAAUUCGAUGCAACGCGAAAAACCUUACCUACCCUUGACAUGGUCGGAACCCUGGAGAGAUCUGGGGGUGCUCGAAAGAGAACCGGCGCACAGGUGCUGCAUGGCUGUCGUCAGCUCGUGUCGUGAGAUGUUGGGUUAAGUCCCGCAACGAGCGCAACCCUUGUCAUUAGUUGCUACGAAAGGGCACUCUAAUGAGACUGCCGGUGACAAACCGGAGGAAGGUGGGGAUGACGUCAAGUCCUCAUGGCCCUUAUGGGUAGGGCUUCACACGUCAUACAAUGGUACAUACAGAGGGCUGCCAACCCGCGAGGGGGUAGCUAAUCCCAGAAAGUGUAUCGUAGUCCGGAUUGCAGUCUGCAACUCG
rnacentral:rRNA from 1 species